UGAGGAUCAGUAAUUUUACUGAGAACCAGCGUUAUCUAUCCAAAACUUCCUAAAGAAAUUGAAGAUAAUCAGAAGUCUGAAUUUACUGAGACUCCUCU